UCGAGAAUAAUUCACAAUGGGGGAAACCCUGAUGGUGCAACGCCGCGUGGAGGAUGAAGGUCUUCGGAUUGUAAACUCCUGUCAUCUGGGAGUAAGGCGUGGCGAUGAAUAGUCGACACGAUUGAUAGUACCAGAAGAGGAAGGGACGGCUAACUUCGUGCCAGCAGCCGCGGUAAUACGAAGGUCCCAAGCGUUGUUCGGAAUCACUGGGCGUAAAGGGAGCGUAGGCGGCGUGGUAAGUCAGAUGUGAAAUCCCGGGGCUCAACCCCGGAACUGCAUCCGAUACUGCCAUGCUUGAGGGUUGGAGAGGUGACUGGAAUUCUCGGUGUAGCAGUGAAAUGCGUGGAUAUCGAGAGGAACACUCGUGGCGAAGGCGAGUCACUGGACAACAUCUGACGCUGAGGCUCGAAGGCUAGGGUAGCGAAAGGGAUUAGAUACCCCCGUAGUCC
rnacentral:rRNA from 1 species